rnacentral:rRNA from 1 species
UACGAGGGGGGCAAGCGUUGUUCGGAAUUAUUGGGCGUAAAGGGCGCGUAGGCGGUGCGGUAAGUCACCUGUGAAACCUCUGGGCUUAACUCAGAGCCUGCAGGCGAAACUGACGUGCUGGAGUAUGGGAGAGGUGCGUGGAAUUCCCGGUGUAGCGGUGAAAUGCGCAGAUAUCGGGAGGAACACCAGUGGCGAAGGCGGCACUCUGGGCCAGUACUGACACUGAGGAGCGAAAGCGUGGGGAGCGAACAGG